rnacentral:rRNA from 1 species
AUACGGAGGAUCCGAGCAUUAUCCGGAUUUAUUGGGUUUAAAGGGUGCGCAGGCGGCCAUUUAAGUCAGCGGUUAAAUCGUGGGGCUCAACCCCAUUCUGCCGUUGAUACUGGGUGGCUUGAUUGCGGUCGAGGUUGGCGGAAUUCGUUGUGUAGCGGUGAAAUGCAUAGAUAUGACGAAGAACACCGAUUGCGUAGGCAGCUGACCAGACCGCAAAUGACGCUCAUGCACGAAAGUGCGGGGAUCGAACAGGAUUAGAUACCCUGGUAGUCCGCACAGUAAACGAUGAAUACUUGUUUUCGGCGAUAUAAUGUCGGAGGCAAAGCGAAAGCGAUAAGUAUUCCACCUGGGGAGUACGCCGGCAACGGUGAAACUCAAAGGAAUUGACGGGG